GGGAUAUGAGGAGUGGUCAAAACUCGCUAUGCGAGAAGAGUGCCCGCCCCGUUUUUUGUUACGACAGAAGGGGCAUUCUAUUAUUUACCUAUCUGAUCCC